AUAUGUCAUCACAAUUAAAUGUCAUUUCUUUUUUCUUUCCUCACUGAAGAUGUGUUUAACCAUUUGAUCUUCCUCUUUGGUAAAGUAAAAUUCUGGGAUAAGAAAAAUUAUGAAAUCAGCUAUCCAGAAAACAAUGCUGAUUUGAUUUUAUAUAUUUUUUAUUGGUUAUUCUUUGCGCAUAGCGGAGCACUAUCAAAUAAACUGCUACCCUAGAAUAAUAAGAAACUUGUUGAUACUUGCGUAUUGAUGAUAUAAACCAAGGUCAAGCCUAUGCUAUAAGCACAAU
rnacentral:misc_RNA from 1 species